rnacentral:rRNA from 1 species
GGUUAAGCGACUAAGCGUACACGGUGGAUGCCUAGGCAAUCAGAGGCGAUGAAGGACGUGCUAAUCUGCGAUAAGCGUCGGUAAGGUGAUAUGAACCGUGAUAACCGACGAUUUCCGAAUGGGGAAACCCAGUGCAAUUCGUUGCACUAUCGUUUGAUGAAUACAUAGUCAAACGAAGCGAACCGGGGGAACUGAAACAUCUCAGUACCCCGAGGAAAAGAAAUCAACCGAGAUUCCCCUAGUAGCGGCGAGCGAACGGGGAGCAGCCCAGAGUCUUAAUCAGCAUUAGCAUCAGGAGAACGGUCUGGAAAGUCCGGCAGUAAAGGGUGAUAGCCCCGUAUCCGAAGGUGUUAGUGUUGUGAACUCGACGAGUAGGGCGGGACACGUGUUAUCCUGUCUGAAUAUGGGGGGACCAUCCUCCAAGGCUAAAUACUCCUGAUUGACCGAUAGUGAACCAGUACCGUGAGGGAAAGGCGAAAAGAACCCCGGCGAGGGGAGUGAAAUAGAACCUGAAACCGUGUACGUACAAGCAGUGGGAGCCCCACCACCAAAGCAUUUUCUGGUGUUGAGGACAACUUU